rnacentral:misc_RNA from 1 species
CAACCCUCAAGCCCUGCUUGGUGUUGGGGACCGGCACGCCCCCAGCGCGUGCCGCCCCCGAAAUACAGUGGCGGUCUCGCCGCGGCCUCCCCUGCGUAGUAGCUAACCUCGCAUGCGGAGCGCGGCGCGGCCACGCCGUAAAACCCCCAAAAAUCUCAAA